rnacentral:rRNA from 1 species
GACGAACGCUGGCGGCGUGCUUAACACAUGCAAGUCGAACGAAGUGGCGAACGGGUGAGUAACGCGUAAUCAACCUGCCCUUCAGAGGGGGACAACAGUUGGAACGACUGCUAAUACCGCAUACUGAAGGAGGGGAUUGCGUCUGAUUAGCCAGUUGGGGGGGUAACGGCCCACCAAGGCGAUGAUCAGUAGGCGGGCCUGGGAGGUGAACCGCCACAUUGGGAAUGGGACACGGCCCAGACCCCUACGGGAGGCAGCAGUGGGGAAUCUUCCGAAAAGGACGAAAGGCUGAAGGAGCAACGCCGCGGGAGUGAUGACGGCCCUCGGGUUGUAAAGCUCUGUUAAGCGGGACGCGGUACCGGAAUAGAAAGCCACGGCUAACUACGUGCCAGCAGCCGCGGUAAUAC